GCCUAGCUGGCUCAGUCGGUAGAGCAUGCUACCCUUGAUCUCUGGGUUGUAGGUUCGAGCCCUGUGUUGGGUG
rnacentral:tRNA from 1 species